UACGAAGGGGGCUAGCGUUGCUCGGAAUCACUGGGCGUAAAGCGCACGUAGGCGGAUUGUUAAGUCGGGGGUGAAAUCCUGGAGCUCAACUCCAGAACUGCCUUCGAUACUGGCGAUCUUGAGUCCGGGAGAGGUGAGUGGAACUCCGAGUGUAGAGGUGAAAUUCGUAGAUAUUCGCAAGAACACCAGUGGCGAAGGCGGCUAACUGGUCCGGUUCUGACGCUGAGGCGCGAAAGCGUGGGGAGCAAACAGG
rnacentral:rRNA from 1 species